CCACAGUGGUCAUGAUGAUGUGAUGGGAUGCUCUCAGAGGUAUAAACAAUUAGUUUGACGAGCCCUCAUAGUAUACAAGAGUAGCAUUCAGCAAAGAAUCGAUUUGGGCCAUUUGGAGUUGAGUACUCGUGGCAAGAGCGU